CCAAUAGCGUAUAUUAAAGUUGUUGUGGUUAAAAAGCUCGUAGUUGAACCUUGGGCCUGGCUGGCCGGUCCGCCUCACCGCGUGUACUGGUCCGGCCGGGCCUUUCCCUCUGUGGAACCUCAUGCCCUUCACUGGGUGUGACGGGGAAGCAGGACUUUUACUGUGAAAAAAUUAGAGUGCUCCAAGCAGGCCUAUGCUCGAAUACAUUAGCAUGGAAUAAUGAAAUAGGACGUGCAGUUCUAUUUUGUUGGUUUCUAGGACCGCCGUAAUGAUUAAUAGGGACAGUCGGGGGCAUCAGUAUUCAAUUGUCAGAGGUGAAAUUCUUGGAUUUAUUGAAGACUAACUACUGCGAAAGCAUUUGCCAAGGAUGUUUUCAUUAAUCAAGAACGAAAGUUAGGGGAUCGAAGACGAUCAGAUACCGUCGUAGUCUUAACCAUAAACUAUGCCGACUAGGGAUCGGAUGAUGUUAAUUUUUUAAUGACUCAUUCGGCGCCUUACG
rnacentral:misc_RNA from 1 species